rnacentral:rRNA from 1 species
CCUACGGGAGGCAGCAGUGAGGGAUAUUGCGCAAUGGGCGAAAGCCUGACGCAGCGACGCCGCGUGGGCGAGGAAGGCCUUCGGGUUGUAAAGCCCUUUUGGCAGGGAAGAGCAAGGACUGUACCUGCAGAACAAGUCACGGCUAACUACGUGCCAGCAGCCGCGGUAAAACGUAGGUGGCGAGCGUUAUCCGGAAUCACUGGGCGUAAAGGGCGUCUAGGCGGUCGGGUAAGUCGGUGGUGAAAUCUUUCCGCUAAACGGGAAAAUUGCCUCCGAGACUGCUCAUCUUGAGUACGGGAGAGGGUGAUGGAAUUCCUGGUGUAGCGGUAAAAUGCGUAGAUAUCAGGAAGAACACCGGUGGCGAAGGCGGCCACCUGGCCCGUAACUGA